AAGUCGUAACAAGGUUUCCGUAGGUGAACCUGCGGAAGGAUCAUUACGAGAGUUCGGGGUGGCCCGGUCCUCCCACGGGGACGUCGGAGGCCGCCCAUCGGCUCCCAACCCUCUGCUCAAAACCCUCUUGACCUCCCCCGGCGGUUCGCGCCGCCGAGGGAGCGCCCAAAACUCGAGCGAUCGAAUACACGUUAAAAAUUGGCGAAAGCUUCUAUCAAAACUUUCAACAACGGAUCUCUUGGUUCCG
rnacentral:misc_RNA from 1 species